GAAAGAUUUAUCGCUUUAAGAUUGGCCCGCGGAAGAUUAGGUAGUUGGUGGGGUAAAGGCCUACCAAGCCGACGAUCUAUAGCUGGUCUGAGAGGACGAACAGCCACAUUGGAACUGAGACACGGUCCAGACUCCUACGGGAGGCAGCAGUGAGGAAUAUUGGGCAAUGGAGGAAACUCUGACCCAGCCAUGCCGCGUGAGUGAAGAAGGUUUUCGAAUUGUAAAGCUCUUUCGGAUGUGAAGAUGAUGACGGUAACAUCUAAAGAAGCCCCGGCAAACUUCGUGCCAGCAGCCGCGGUAAUACGAAGGGGGCAAGCGUUGUUCGGAAUUACUGGGCGUAAAGGGUGUGUAGGCGGGAAAGUAAGAUAGUGGUGAAAUGCCUGAGCUCAACUUGGGAACUGCCAUUAUAACUAUUUUUCUAGAGUGACAGAGAGGAUAUUGGAAUACCCAGUGUAGAGGUGAAAUUCGUAGAUAUUGGGUAGAACACCGGAGGCGAAGGCGAGUAUCUGGCUGUCAACUGACGCUGAGGCACGAAAGCAUGGGGAUCAAACAGGAUUAGAUACCCUGGUAGUCCAUGCUGUAAACGAUGAAUG
rnacentral:rRNA from 1 species